CGAACGAAGAGUUUGAUCCUGGCUCAGGGAUGAACGCUGACAGAAUGCUUAACACAUGCAAGUCGACUCGAGUCUUCGGACUUGGGUGGCGCACGGGUGAGUAACGCGUAAAGAACUUGCCUCUUAGACCGGGACAACAUCUGGAAACGGAUGCUAAUACCGGAUAUUAUGGUUUUUCGCAUGGAGGAAUCAUGAAAGCUAGAUGCGCUAAGAGAGAG
rnacentral:ncRNA from 1 species